GAUGAACGCUGGCGGCGUGCCUAAUACAUGCAAGUCGAGCGAACGGACGAGAAGCUUGCUUUUCUGAUGUUAGCGGCGGACGGGUGCGUAACACGUGGAUAACCUACCUAUAAGACUGGGAUAACUUCGGGAAACCGGAGCUAAUACCGGAUAAUAUUUUGAACCGCAUGGUUCAAAAGUGAAAGACGGUCUUGCUGUCACUUAUAGAUGGAUCCGCGCUGCAUUAGCUAGUUGGUAAGGUAACGGCUUACCAAGGCAACGAUGCAUAGCCGACCUGAGAGGGUGAUCGGCCACACUGGAACUGAGACACGGUCCAGACUCCUACGGGAGGCAGCAGUAGGGAAUCUUACGCAAUGGGCGAAAGCCUGACGGAGCAACGCCGCGUGAGGGAUGAAGGUCUUCGGAUCGUAAAACUCUGUUAGUAGGGAAGAACAUAUGUGUAAGUAACUGUGCACAUCUUGACGGUACCUAAUCAGAAAGCCACGGCUAACUACGUG
rnacentral:rRNA from 1 species